CGGGGCGUGGGGGAGCGCCACCCAGGCCCAUGGCCUUCCCUCAGGACGCUCGUCCCUGCCGUUGACCUUCCCUGGGCCCCGCUCAGCUCUCAGGAGGACAGACAGGAGUGUUGUCUUCCCCCGGAACCGCCCCCACCACACACACACACAUCCUGCAUAUUAAACUCGACAGCCGAGAACCUGGUUCCCGGACGACCACAGAGAAUCUGGAGGCCUUUUGGUGGUGGGGUCGCCCUGUAUAUUCCGCCCCAACACAGAGGAUCUCGGAAAACCAGCCAGUUCUGUUUGGGCACAGAAGGCAGCCUGGUUUCAACUGUCAACAGUAAGGACGCGCCUACAGGCCCCUCAAAGAGGAGACGAGUUCAGCCCAGAGUCACAGUGAGGUAAGAAAGCCCCAGUCUGGCAGGUAGGCCUCUCCAGGUAGGACGGCCAUCAUUGGCACAUCCCCUACCCUCUUGGUUGGCCGAGACCCCCAUGCCAGGUCUGAGACCCGGAUGGUCCUUCCCGGAGCAUGUAGCCCCAGACAGAGCUACCGGCUGCAGCAGGAAAGCUCCAGGACUUUCUCCAGGCUCCUCAGAAAGACACCAAGAAGGCCAGAUCUGGUUCCUGGUGCAAACCCCCCAGCAGCCACCAGCCACCGCCCCCCCCCCCACAAACUUCAGCUGUCUCACCUCCCAGCACACGCCUCCCACUUGUGCGUGUGCUAGUUGCCCUGGAGACCUAAGUGCGGGCUUGAAUGGAGUCUCACACACCCAGCGGGGAGAUGGAAUAGGGCCAGCCCUCGGCAAUCACCAGGCCUGA
rnacentral:lncRNA from 1 species